rnacentral:rRNA from 1 species
CCUACGGGAGGCUGCAGUGAGGAAUAUUGGUCAAUGGCCGAGAGGCUGAACCAGCCAAGUCGCGUGAGGGAAGACGGCCCUACGGGUUGUAAACCUCUUUUGUCGGGGAGCAAAGCGAGUCACGUGUGACGCAUUGAGAGUACCCGAAGAAAAAGCAUCGGCAAACUCCGUGCCAGCGGCCGCGGUAAUACGGGGGAUGCGAUCGUUAUCCGGAUUGAUUGGGUUAAAGGGGUGCUCAGGCGGAAGUGCAAGUCAGCGGUCAUAUUGCGGGGCUAAACCCCGGACUGCCGUUGAAACUGCAUCCCUUGAGUGCGCGAGAAGUAUGCGGAAUGCGUGGUGUAGCGGUGAAAUGCAUAGAUAUCACGCAGAACUCCGAUUGCGAAGGCAGCAUACCGGCGCGCAACUGACGCUCAUGCACGAAAGCGUGGGUAUCGAACAGGAUUAGAUACCCGUGUAGUC